GUUUCUACUGGUUUAUUUAUGCUUGCUUUAAAAGCUUCCACAGUCUUGUGGGGGAAACAUUCAUGAAACAAAACAUUACAGUCCCAUGAAAUAAGCCUUAUCAUAAAAUCAACCCCAUUUGCGGAGAUGAUGUCUGGAGAACCCUAAAACCUGAAUGAGGAUCCCUUCUCUUUCACUCCCAACUCCCAGAUACUUGUCACUUCUGGUAAACCAGUUACUAGGAACUAUAGGUAUAAAACCCUGGGUACUGUUGGGAUUCCAGCAGAGAACCAAUAUGAUGCUUUUUCUCUACAAGGGCCAAACAAGAAAAGAGCAUCAGACUUCAAACCUGAGAACCAGAAAGCUUCAUGAAGAUCUGAGGAAGAGCUUGGUGAUCAGAGACCUGUGAACCCACUUAGAGAGUCAACUAUGGUCCUCUUAGCAUAUGAUGUGCUCGCUUCUAAUUCACGACUGGCUAAGAAAGACCCAACAAAUAGUUGAGUCUUCCCCAGUCCGUGAGUCAGGGAGAAUAUAGGGAUACCACCGAAGAAAUAAGACUUCUCUAGAAGCCUCUUCAGGAGACAGACAGCAUCCAGUCAGCCUACAUGAGCUUCCAGGCAGCAGGGAAAAUGAGAAAAGAACAGAAGCAAUUGAAGCAACACAACCAUAUCUAAGAUUUUUAUUGCCCAACGUUAAAGAAGAAUUACAACGGUUACUUACUUUUAUGGCUCUUGCAUCAGAACCUAAUGCCUACAAGGUGCAAAAACAGUUUGCUAACAAAACGGUGGUCCUGAAAACUCUUGCCAAAGCAGUUUUGCAAUCCAGAUCAUUAUUAAAACUCCGGACAGAACGACUAGUCUUAUUUCUACUGGAGUUUCAUUCUGAGCUCUUCAAGGUACCUCUGGCACUUUGCCUGGGCACAUUUAUUACUAAGCUACUUGUCAAACAAAAAGGCAAAUCAUUCACUUAAUAAAUAAUUUACUGAGUACCUAUAAUGUGCAAAGUUUGAAGUAAUGCUCCCUCCCCACACCCGCUCAAGA
rnacentral:lncRNA from 1 species